ensembl:lncRNA
AACCGCCACUGCACCAGGUGGGUCCCGCUGAGCCCCUGCGGGUUGCCCUGCAGCCCAGAAGUUUGCGAGAGGCUUUUAGGAGAUUGAAAGCCAGCCACAUAGCUUGUCCAGGGUUAAGACGUCCUGCGGGCUCCUCUGCUGGGGACAGGGGAGCAGGACACCCUCACUGGGCCUGGGCCUGAGAAGGUCAGCCCGGGUCAGGCGGGGUCCUCCACCCCACACACAUUUACCGCAGAGCUGGCAGGCGCAGGGUGAGUCUCUCCUGUCAGCCUGCUGCCGCCCCGCCCCCACCCCCCAAACCCGCAAAGGCCACUUGGAACCCGAGAUGCUGAGGCUGGACACCAGGGGACAGACAGACACACAGACAGGAACCGACAAGCAGAAGAGAGAAGCCAGCUUCUGAAAGAAAAGCAGAGAAAGGGACCCAGCGAGGAGAGAGGGAGACCCAACCCACGAGGUCAUUGGGGUCGGAGCGGACGCGGUCCCCGUGCCACCACAGGGCGCCAGUUCUCAGGCUGCCUUCUCAGCUCAAACGAGCGCCCUGCCCGGAGCACGUGGCUGCGCAUCCUGAGCGGAGCGGCGCGUCCACGGGCAGCCGGGGCGGCCCGCGCAUCCCCGCAGGGAACCGAGCGGGUCCCAGCGGCCCCUCCACGAGCACGGCUUCCACCCUGAGCCUGCACGAACAAAACAGGAAAGGCUUGCGACAGAUUGGGAAUUUCACCCCGAUCUCGAUUUCCAAAGGCGGGCAGGCCGACGACAACGUCCCUCAGGCCUCAGCCUCCUGUGACCUCACGCGGCAGCGCCACGCCCUCCGCAAACGCGGCGUGACCCCAGCACCUGCCGCUCCUCAGCUCCAGGGGCACGCCCGCGCUCAGCCGGGUUUAGAGCCGCCAGAGGGAACACCACCCAUCCGCAUUUGGGAGACAAGGCUGAAUUUCCCAGAACCUGGGUCCGCUCCAACUUUUGUCUCUGACCCCAGAUGCAACUAUAAAAGCACUCAGGAUUUAUUCUUCACCAGGACAAGCUCGAGACAUUUGUGUGCUGUCGCUGAAAGGACCAAACACACAUUCCAGAGGAUCCUCUCUGUUCCUGACUUGGUUCUGGGGCUUAACCUUUGUCGUCUUGGAUCUGGUCCUCACAGCCCGCAUUCCACAGGGUCAGGAGGGUCAGCAGGGGAGAGGCAGGGGGCUGACUGGGGUCUGGCACCCAGGACCUCCACUCCCGCCUCUGGCCUUUCAGAGGCUACCCACCCUCGGCUAACAAGACUGGCUUCUGCGGAACGGAGUGUCGGGCCUCCCAGGGGGACAGAAGAGCCCCCAUGGGAUACGCCUCCCCCUAUAGGUCAGGGCUAGAGUUGGUUGGUGGGAAAGAUAAAUUAGCAAGGCUGAGGGGAGAAAGACAACUUCCUGGGGGACAUGGGAGCGGCUGCCCUCAGUCUUUUGGGAGCAGGCAACACAGAUUCAUGCAGAAACACACACAGGAAUAAGCACAGACACGUGGACACACACAGGUACAAGCACUCACGACUCUCUCUCACACACACACACAAGCAAUCCUGAGCCUCAAGACAGAAGCUUCGGGCCCUUGCAGCUGCCUUCCCUGGAGGGGCAGCCAUGGGACUGGCCCAGAGCCACCUGGCACGCCUCCUGCCUCCUCCCCUUCCCCAGACCUGGGCGGUGCUCCCUGCAUGUCCCCAGGCCUCCGUGGUUCCUGCGGCUGCAGCCUUGGGUGCUCCUGUGCGAGCAAGCACAGCUCCUGGACCGGGCCGCAGGGACGUCUGGAACAGCCUGCAGGCAGGCUCCCCCGCUUCCACAGGACUCUCUCCUUUGGCCUGUCUCCCUGCCUUUCUCUUGGAAUUUCUGCAGGAUUUUGCAGACAAAAUCACUUAGUUCCAGCCACAUAGAUGCAAGAAACAGGUGAGCACCAAGGCGGAGCCAUGCUCCAGAGCCUGCACACAGCAGGAGCCAACCUGGGAUGUGCUGCACCCACCUGAAGCGGGGAACGGAGAGAGAAAUGCCCGGGGGAGGGGAAGGCUCUCCUGGCUGAGAGGCCUAGGGAGUCUCUGCAGGGUGUGGAUGGGCCAGGGUGGCCGAGGACUCAGAGUCCCCGAGUCUGCAGCUUCCUCCUCUCACCUCCCCAGGGACGGGGGAACAGGUCUGGGGCGGCCCGUUGGUAGGUGGAAGGGGAAGCGAGGCCAUAGAAUGUGCCCUUUGACCUUCUGACCACUGUCUUCUGCACCCCAAGAUCUGACCACUGAAAUAGCAAUCAUGACUUUCACGCAGCUUCUUGUAAAGCCGAGCCUUCACUGUGGGCUCUCGGAGCACCAGCAUUUUACCCCAAGUCUGCUGCCUGCCUACGUGUCCACUCCCUGCACCCCUGUUGGCACCUGUGUGUGUCCUGCCCUGGAGCAGCCCCCACACUCCUCUGCACCGGACAAUUCCUAGAAUGAGGAAGGGAUGGAAAUGACCCCAGAAAGUGGAAGAGCACACUGGAAGCGGAAGCAUUGGUCUGUGAUCACUGUUUCUCCCUCCAAAGGGGUUGGGGUGGAAGCCAAGUUGUUUCAGCCCACAGGGGCUCUGUGAAGUCAGGGAGCCUGUGCCAGCGCCCUCCUCCCUCCCUGACCCAUGAACCCAAGUCCCACGGGCCCUGAAUGUGCCAAUCACUCAUUCAUUCAACAAGCAUCCUGGAGCAACCAGGCCCUGGGCACCCUGGUGCUGAGAUGAAAAGUCAGUGUCUGCCCCGGGAGGGACACACCAUGGAGGGAGAGAUAAGACAGCACUACACUCUGCACGUGCCCUGGGAGACGGGCGUUUUAUGAGAAACCUGAACAAGAACGCAACUAACCCCCAGGACUGCAUCUCAGACGGUGGAAUUGGAGGCAUCCGGAGGAGAUACUCAGAAAGGAAUGAAGGAAGACGGGAAGGGAAAAGGAAGGAAGGAAAGAGGAAAGAAGGGAGGAAAGGAGAAAGUGGGGAGAAGAGAUGGAGACCAGUUGCAGCCAAACGCUAUGGCUGCUGGGAAUGGCGAGAAGACUCCUCUGCAUCUGUGCGCGACCAUCCGCGAGAGCCGGCUAGGGAGCCUCCCAGGCCGCAGAGCACCUCGUGGUCAGGACGGGACCUCCUUCACCUGCCCCCAGAGCGGGCUUCUGCAUGAUGCCCAUCCAUGGAGUUGUGCAUUCAUCCCCAGCAUUCAGCAGCUUCCACAGACCAGACCCCGAGGUUGAGGAUUGGGACGCAAGCAGGUCAUGUGGGAGGUGACCCUGGGAAGCACUGCCGUGGGAGUGGGGACGCAGACAGGAGGGGACGACAGCCAGAGCAGUGUGGUGAUAAGUGGCUUGCUGCUGAGGGCUGCCAGAGAGAUGGUCAGAACGGGUCCUAGUUGACCCCUGUCGGGGAGCAGGCUGGAGGGCGCGCAGACCGGCUCCAGUCCAUCCUUGGCUCCUGGGGCACUGCCUCCCCAGCACUCAUGGGCUGCCCUGCACCCUGCAGGCCAAGCCCACACCUACUAGGACAAGGCCCGCGGGAGAGAGGACCGGGUGGGCGUGGGACGGCGCAUGCCAAGGAGCUAUGGGGGUCAGGUCUGCCGCACGCUGAGGGCUUGGCCUGGGGUUAGGAUGAAUCAGACACAGGCCCCGCCCUCAAGGAGCUGUCAGUUGGGACCGGGACUGGGGGCGGGGGGUGCGGGGAACCGACGGACAAGAGACCCGUCCCACAGGACAGCCCCAUGGCCUCGCCACAGCAGCCAUAUUAUCCGUACAAGCAGUCGUCGGAAGUUGGCCUGGCCUCCGGACACAGGGCGAGCAGAAAUCCACGCCUGCCGCCGGCUCCUCUCGCCAGCAGGAGACAAUCCCAGCAAAACCACGCCAUAAACUGAGCCCACGCUCUUCCUCCCACGCAGCAAACCCGUCCCGGGAGAUGAAGGGGAGGAGGGGAGCGUGUCCCUCACCCUGGGAGACAGAAACAGGAGCGCACGCUGCUCCUUCCGCGUCCCGCGGGUGAUUCACUGCCUCACACACAGAGCCCUGAGGGGAAAGGGGGCAGCCGCGACUCUGAAAGCCGGCAUCCCUCCGCUGGCCUUGCACAGCUUGCCUAACCUCUCUGGGUUCCAGGCCCACCGUGGGGAAGCCCCCUGCCCACUGGGCUGCCACACAGCCUGGAACGGGAGGCAGAGUGCUGAGGCCGGCAUCCUGCCCUGCUCCACCGCACCCACUGGGCGCCCGAGGCCGAGCCAGCCCCCUCCGUGUGUGCUCAUCCUCAGGCCUUGUCGCUGCCGCCAGAGCGCGGGCCUCAAGGGAGAAGCCUUCCAGGGCCGCUGUCGGCCUGCGCUAUCAGACUCUCCUUCCACUUUCCCCCGUCCUGCAAGAUAAAGUAGGUUAAUUCAGAAAUGCUAAGAUGGAGUGUCUAAGGGCUGUGCGGCCUGAAUACAGAUCCUGCUGGCUGAGCGCCUGCCUGUUCUCACUGGGGGACUCAGCUCUCCCGGAUUUCCCAAGACACUUUGCUCUGAACUGGCCAGCUUGCCAACCCUCCUCCUCCUGGCUGAGAGGGGGCCUCUGACAGCCUCACCCCACCAACGAGCCCAGGCGGGGGCAGCUCUGGGCCAAAGAGGAGCCUGCCCUCCUCAGGCCUCCCCCUGCCUCCCCCCACCCCCAGGGGAAGAGGCUCCAGAAGCUGCCUGGCCCAGCACGUGAGCCUGUCACGCCCUAUCAGGGAGGCCCUGGGGGGGCACCUCGCUCUUCCUCCCAGGAUGGUCUCUCACCUCCAGACAGCUCCAGAGGGGCCCUUUCCGAGAGCGCCCAGCCCAGCCCAGCAGGAAGGGAUUACACUCUAACCCACUCCAGUCAAGCUGCAGGCAGUGUUCCUCCUCCUGUGCUAAGGGUGGAGACAGGCCAAGGCAGGUCACCAGUCUCCCAGUGCGAGCUGCUGUCACCACAAUCACAGCUCCCUCGCUCCCCAGCAGGACCCUCCAUGAUAUGUUAAUAACGGGAACAAUGGCCAGUUAGGGCGGCUCCCUGUGCGCCAGGCACUGCCCUCACGCUCUCUCAGACACAAUUAUUGGCGCUGCCAGGUCACAGGUCAGGAGGGGGCUGGCGCAGACAAGCAGCUUGGCCAAGGCCUGGCUGUGGAGAGCACAGAGGCAGGAUGCAGAGCAGGCCCCUGACUGCCCACCUGGGCCCCUAAACACCUGCCCCCUGGUGCGGCCCUCAGCACUGGGUGUCAGGAGGCCUGAUCAGUGGCCCCCAGUGCCCAUCAGGCCCCUCCCCCACUCCUUCCGCCUGUGCGCUGGCCCCUCCAGCAGACAGUGUGCAAGUCCAGUGACAGACUGAAUGGCCACAGCCCUGCUCGCCCAUCCUCAGAUCUGUUCAUCCUCACACUCCCAGCCACCCCAUGGCUAAUUCUAGAAAAAUAGCAAGCGUUCCAGUGUGGCACCCUUGCUGAGCAGUCACCAGGCCACCAUCCAUCCAGUCCAGCUCUCCCAGCUUGCUGGCUGGACCCUUGCCCACUCCAGGCCUCAGUCCCUCUGCUGUGUGCAGGAGGCCAGCAGCCCUGAACAGGUGGGUAAAUGGCGACACCACCUUCCCGUCCAGCCCCAUAAUCCCCAGAACCAGAGGGGCAGCUAAACAUCCCCACCUACACCGCAGGCCCUGUAGGGCACCAGGCAACAACAGGAACCCGUGGCCCCCGGAGGACACGAGCUGCCCUGCGAAGCAGAGCACGGCCUGGGAGCCCUCCAGGCUGCCCCUCCACCCCAAGCUGCAGGGGGAGACUCCUGCAGCCCAGCAGCCUCCCAGGAUCUGCUUCCCUGGCCGCUGGCAGGUCUCAGCAAGAUCUCAGCAAGGCUGGCCCAGUGAUGACCGUGCUGCCCCUGGCGCUCAGCAUCCUGCAUCCUUGAAUGUCGAUGUAAAUAAAACGGAGCUCUGUCUGUCUGCCACCACGUUGCAAGAUGGCCAGACAGGUCUUAUUUGAUGGUAGGACGCACCUGCAGAGCUCCCAGUCAAAGGCCCCAGGUGCCCGGUGCAGCCACACAGCCUCCGCCAGGCCCUUGAAGGCGCCUCAGAGAGCGGCUGGCCCCCUCCAGGGCAGCUGAAAUUCAUGUUGGCGGUUGCUUGAGUGCUAUGUCAUUCGUGCAGAGACCCCAGGCACGGAAAGCCAGAGUGGUCUCUGCGGACUCCAAGCUGACGGAGGCCCUGCACAGUGGGCCACGUGGCAGGGACAGAGCGUAUCAUGUGAGGGGCUGGGGUCCCCUGAGCAGCACAGGGUCGGUGGUGAGCCGCAGCAGAGGGAACGAGGCUCACCCUUGACAUGCUCCCAUAUCAGCCAGCGCAACUCCCCGGAGCCCCUCAGCUCUAGGCCAAGGCACGCUGAGCGCUUGCCUCUGGGCUUGUGCAGUCUGUGUGCAAAGGCAGCAGGCAUUAUUUUAACGGUGGCACCCAAGCCCCGCCUCGUCGGGGAGCGUCUUUGUGUAGGGAAUUACUGUUCUUCUCUGGUGAAGCAGGGACAGGUGGGCAGGCACCGCAAGCCCCGCCCUGAGCAGCCUUGAGCACUGCGCCUGCCCAAGGGGCCAGGAAGCAAGGGGUGGGCUGCGGUGGUGGGAGGACUGGACAGGUGAUGGUGGCAGGGAGCAUUCUGGGUGGAGGGCGUGGGGUGGCAGUGAGCAAAGGCUGAAAGCAGAAACGGCACGGUGGCUGGAGCCUUUGGGAGUGGAGCAUGAGGGCCCCAGGGCUGGACGGGAGGAGGACGGAGGGCGAAAGGCAGACGGCUUGGAUGCCAGGCUAGGAGGUGGAGGAAAGCUUCAGAGAGAAGAUGGGCCUUAAUUGGCCUGAAACUCCCUCUGGAGAAGAGCAGAAAGACAGACAAGGCAAAAGAGAGGGAGCGAGGGAGAGAGGCAGAAAGAGGGGAGGCGGCAAUGGGGGCGGAGGAGAGAGACCGGAACGGAGACAGCAGCCAGCGAGCAGGGAAGCAAAUGGGGGCUGGGUCAGACCCAGGGCCCCUGGGAAUCCUCUAGACCCGAGGCCAUGGCUCCCGCCCUCCCUGAGCCUGGGACCAGAUACUCUGCUGUGAGCCUUACCUGUCUGAAGAUAGCAAGCCGGACACUCCAUCCCCCGGUCCUGGGCAGUGGCAGGGCCGUGGGCCUGGGCAGAGGACUCUUGCCUGUGGAGGGGCCAGGAGGCUGCUGUUUGUGGUGCAGAAGUCACUGAGCGGCUGUCCAUCAUGUGACCUUGGGCCCCGGAUGCCCCAUCCUACAAUGGCACAGGCCCGUCCAGCCUGAACUUCUGGGAGGCCCCAGGCUGCAAGGGGCCCCGUGCUCUGCCUGGUGAGGCACCCAAGUGAGCCCCGCUGGGUCUAAUCCUGCCACGCUUACCCACAAGGCGGGAGGGAAAGGCCAGAUUUCACAAUGGGACCAUCUGUUCUAUCGCUUCCCAGCUUCCUGGAUGCUCCUCUGGAAACCCUCUCCGAUAAUGUUCCUGGAUUACAUGCCAAAAAGAGAGGAAACUCUGGACUCGCGACCAUGGGCAUAAAUGCCUAAUUAGCUCAUUCUUUG